UGUCAGUCCUGCCUGGCUACCUCUUGACAAAAGCAGAGAAGGCAGCCCCACUUAUAGGCUAGAGCAAGGUUUUAUAGGACAUAGAACUGGAUCAGGGUGAAGGAAAAAGAAAAGGGGGGGGGUCCUUUGUGCCAUGUGUCUGACCGCUUCCUGGAGAUGUUUUUCUUGCCAGUUCUCUUGUGCAAAGUAGACGUCUUAACCGCAUCCUGGGACAGCUGGCCUCUGGUCAAACAGUUACAGGCAGGUUUGGGGUAGCGGGUUUUACUUUUUGGCCUUUGGGGCUUAGUCUAUGGGAGGGGGAAACAGUCCAGUUGGGUGGACCUUAGCAAUGGUGUAUCUGUAAGUGGCUGGUGGCAGCGACAACAUUCUUACGCUGCAUGUGUAUUGUUCAGUUGUCAUCUGUGUUGGGGAAUCUAGCCACUGGCCCACAGAGAGUUAACCAGAGCUUGGGAGUGUGAGAGGUGGGAAAGAGGGAACCAUCUACUCCAGCUUCCUGUCUAAUUUCUUCAAGGGGAGGGGCCCUGGGGAAACAAUUCCUUGGAAAUGUACAAAGGAGGAUAGAGAAAGAAUCUCUGUAGGAAUUCCUUGGGCAGAGGAAGGCAAGAGGACACCCAGGUCACGUCAGGGCUCAUGAUAGGGAAAUCUGUGCUAUGGGGAGAUGGGACUGGGAGUGAAGGGUGGGUGCGGCAGAUGGCUGGGCCAGCAGGUUUCCUGCCACCUGUUAAAAGGGGGUGGGGGUCGGGUAAAGAAAGUGCCUUGCAGAGUAGGCUGCUGCCUCCCGGUGGUCAGCCGCGGCCUUGCAUGGAUCUUGCCAAGGGAGUUUGCUUGGCGGUGUUGGAAGCGGCCUGAGAUGAAGCUGGGCGGGCUGAUGGCCUGCUUCCCCCGUCACCGGCAGACUCUCCUUCCACGAAAGACUUGCUGAAGCUCCUGAGGCACAUGCUGAACUGUGAUGUGGGACUCUGGAGUUCCCCAACCACGCUAAAGGAAGUGAGCAGAGAGGACAAGAUGAAGAAUGGGCGCCUCCUUAUAACGGCUUCCUGGGAAAAGCUCACCACUUGAUGAGAAGCA
rnacentral:lncRNA from 1 species